ACUACGGGUGGCAGCAGUGGGGAAUAUUGCACAAUGGGGGAAACCCUGAUGCAGCGACGCCGCGUGAGUGAAGAAGUAUUUCGGUAUGUAAAGCUCUAUCAGCAGGGAAGAAGCAAGACGGUACCUGACUAAGAAGCCCCGGCUAACUACGUGCCAGCAGCCGCGGUAAUACGUAGGGGGCAAGCGUUAUCCGGAUUUACUGGGUGUAAAGGGAGCGUAGACGGUAUGGCAAGUCUGAAGUGAAAGCCCAGGGCUUAACCCUGGGACUGCUUUGGAAACUGUUAGACUAGAGUGCUGGAGAGGUAAGUGGAAUUCCUAGUGUAGCGGUGAAAUGCGUAGAUAUUAGGAGGAACACCAGUGGCGAAGGCGGCUUACUGGACAGUAACUGACGUUGAGGCUCGAAAGCGUGGGGAGCAAACAGGAUUAGAUACCCGUGUAGUC
rnacentral:rRNA from 1 species